GGAAGAGGUAUGUUCACAGGUUAUCUAUCUCCAACAUAUUGGAAUUUGGUUUUGGAUAUCUAUAACAUAAAAGUCAAUAGAAUAAUAUUAAGACCAUGAGAACAUAUUAUCAAGUGGUAUAUUUGUUCCAAUGACUAGAGUGAUAGACUUGAGAAAUGAAGGGCAAAACUAAUAACUUAUUCUUGCAUUAGAUGCACCUACAAAGGACUACAUAUGAUAGCCAAAGUAGCAAAGAGCCAACGGAACAUGAACUUGUACUCUCUGGGAAUUCAAGAAAAGCCAUGUUCCAGUAUUUGGGAGCUGGGAUUGCAAUGAUGAUCUUCCGUUUACACAGUGCUUUGAGUCAGCAAGACAAGCUAGACUCCUGCGUUACAGCUACUCUGAAGAUCGUGAUCUCUAUGUCACUGGUGACUUGUGCUCUACCUACAAAAUACUGGAAUUUAGAAGUUCCUAUGACUUGGGCUGCCUCAGACAAUAUUGUUUAAUAUAAAAGUCUUUCAAAGACUGAAAAUCUUGGGCACUAACUCAAUGGUACAGGGAUGCUGCAUGCUGUGUCCUGCUGAAAUGAAGGAAAAAUUGGAAGACAGGUUAUGAUUGCCAUCGUACUUGAACAAGUCCCAACGGCCUGAAAGUAACUUUUUCUUUUUCAAUUUUAAACAGGUAAAAGGAGGCUACCCACUUGUGAAAGACAGCAAAAAGGAAGGGUGGGUGGUUUGUGAGUGUGAAUAUGAAUAUGAGCAUGAUGUGAAAGAGUCACCAAGCCCUGUGCCUAAUGCUCCUCCACCAAGAAAGGCACCCAAGGCUGUGGAUGAAGAUCUCUACAACAUCUUUCCUGACCUUCUCUAUGCCAAUUCCAAAAGGCUUGGAAGAAGCCACUGGCUUGGUCAUCAUAUUUAUUAUCAGUAGAACAGGAGAUAAAGCAAAAGUGUCAGAACUCGUGAAGGAGGUGGCAAAAUUUGAUGACUUCAUGCUCUUGGAUAUCAAAGAGGAGUACAGGUUUUGGAUCUCGAUGUGCAAGACAAGGGCGUCUCCUUCAACUUGCUUGUGUUCAAAUCGUAUAUUGAAUGUUUACAUAAUGCGCCAGUCAAAAGAAACUCUCAAAGGGAUGAGUCUAUCUUCUUAUUCUAUGCUUGAACAUUUACAGGAAGGGAAGGAGUUUGUGUUUAAACUCAAUCUGGGUAACCACAAAAUGUGUGGACUUAUUCGAAAUUAUGUUGUUGCCUUCACUUUUACGUCAGAUUUUAACUUGAAAAAAACCCGAAGAAAGUUCUGUCUUUACAUGGAGACGUAUUUGGAUGGUUAGCAGCGCUUUCUGACACAGGCAUACUAUAAAAUAAAGACAAGAAAUUGCUGAAUUUUUUUAAUAAACACGUGCUAAAUCGUAAAAUAUUG